rnacentral:rRNA from 1 species
CAACGCCGCGUGAAGGAUGAAGGCCCUCGGGUUGUAAACUUCUGUUGGAAUGGGAAAAAAAUGCCGCAAGGUACUGAUGGUACCAUUCGAGUAAGCACCGGCUAACUACGUGCCAGCAGCCCGCGGUAAUACGUAGGGUGCAAGCGUUGUUCGGAAUCACUGGGCGUAAAGAGAGCGUAGGCGGGAUUGUAAGUUAGGAGUUUAAUGCAUGGGCUUAACCCAGUGAUCUGCUUUUAAUACUGCAGUUCUUGAGUAUGGGAGAGGGUGAUGGAAUUCCAGGUGUAGCGGUGGAAUGCGUAGAUAUCUGGAAGAACACCAGUAGCGAAGGCGGUCGCCUGGCCCAAUACUGACGCUGAGGCUCGAAAGCUAGGGGAGCAAACAGGAUUAGAUACCCUGGUAGUCCUAAGCCGUAAACGAUGGACACUAGUUGCCGGAAGAGUCAAUCCUUCGGUGACGAAGCUAACGCAUUAAGUGUCCCGCCUGGGAAGUACGCUCGCAAGAGUG